rnacentral:rRNA from 1 species
CCGGAUAAGCCCUUACGGGGAAAGAUUUAUCGCCGAAAGAUCGGCCCGCGUCUGAUUAGCUAGUUGGUGAGGUAACGGCUCACCAAGGCGACGAUCAGUAGCUGGUCUGAGAGGAUGAUCAGCCACAUUGGGACUGAGACACGGCCCAAACUCCUACGGGAGGCAGCAGUGGGGAAUAUUGGACAAUGGGCGCAAGCCUGAUCCAGCCAUGCCGCGUGAGUGAUGAAGGCCCUAGGGUUGUAAAGCUCUUUUGUGCGGGAAGAUAAUGACGGUACCGCAAGAAUAAGCCCCGGCUAACUUCGUGCCAGCAGCCGCGGUAAUACGAAGGGGGCUAGCGUUGCUCGGAAUCACUGGGCGUAAAGGGUGCGUAGGCGGGUCUUUAAGUCAGGGGUGAAAUCCUGGAGCUCAACUCCAGAACUGCCUUUGAUACUGAAGAUCUUGAGUUCGGGAGAGGUGAGUGGAACUGCGAGUGUAGAGGUGAAAUUCGUAGAUAUUCGCAAGAACACCAGUGGCGAANGCGGCUCACUGGCCCGAUACUGACGCUGAGGCACGAAAGCGUGGGGGAGCAAACAGGAUUAGAUACCCUGGUAGUCCACGCCGUAAACGAUGAAUGCCAGCCGUUAGUGGGUUUACUCACUAGUGGCGCAGCUAACGCUUUAAGCAUUCCGCCUGGGGAGUACGGUCGC